rnacentral:rRNA from 1 species
GACGAACGCUGGCGGCGUGCUUAACACAUGCAAGUCGUACGGUAAGGCCCUUUAGGGGGUACACGAGUGGCGAACGGGUGCGUAACACGUGAGUAACCUGCCCACAACAUUGGGAGAACGCUAGGAAACUGGUGCUAAUACUGGCGAUGUGCUCCUGCUGCAUGGUGGGGGUUGGUAAGCUCCGGCGGUUGUGGAUGGACUCGCGGCCUAUCAGCUUGUUGGUGGGGUAGUGGCCUACCAAGGCGGCGACGGGUAGCCGGCCGGAGUAGGUGACCGGCCACAUUGCGACUGAGAUGCGGCCCAGACUCCCACGGGGGGGAGCAGUGGGGAAUAUUGCACCAUGGGCGCCAGCCAGUUGCAGCAACGCCGCGUGCGGGAUGGCGGCCUUAGGGUUGCAGACCGCUUUCAGCAGGGACGAAGCUUUUUGUGACGGUACCUGCAGAAGAAGCACCGGCUAACUUCGUG